rnacentral:piRNA from 1 species
UGGAAUUGAACUCAGGACCUCUGGAAGA